AUUGAACGCUGGCGGCAGGCUUAACACAUGCAAGUCGAGCGGGGUGAUGGUGCUUGCACUAUCACUUAGCGGCGGACGGGUGAGUAAUGCUUAGGAAUCUGCCUAUUAGUGGGGGACAACAUCUCGAAAGGGAUGCUAAUACCGCAUACGUCCUACGGGAGAAAGCAGGGGAUCACUUGUGACCUUGCGCUAAUAGAUGAGCCUAAGUCGGAUUAGCUAGUUGGUGGGGUAAAGGCCUACCAAGGCGACGAUCUGUAGCGGGUCUGAGAGGAUGCUCCGCAACACUGGGAAUGAGACACGGCCCAGACUCCUACGGGAGGAAGCAGUGGGGAAUAUUGGACAAUGGGGAGAACCCUGAUCCAGCCAUGCCGCGUGUGUGAAGAAGGCCUUAUGGUUGUAAGGCACUUUAAGCGAGGAGGAGGCUCUUUUGGUUAAUACCCAAGAUGAGUGGACGUUACUCGCAGAAUAAGCACCGGCUAACUCUGUGCCAGCCGCCGCGGUAA
rnacentral:rRNA from 1 species